rnacentral:lncRNA from 1 species
AUUAACAAUGCAGUUUUUAUGAGUUGUGAGACUAAUCUGUUUGUGGUAGUAAAGAUGUUUUUAAAGGUCUCUUUUUUGAUAGGCAGGACUUUUAAUCAAUUGGAAAUACUAACAGACAGAAAUAAAAUAGAUGAUGGCUCUCUCUAAUAUGAUGUUUACUCUUUGGUAAGUACAGCUUACCCUUAAAAUCUCUAAAAGAUGUAUACUGCAAGUAAUCAUCCUGUUCUGAUCGAUCUUCCUUUUUGAUAAGAGAUAAGGCAGUUAAUAUAUUCAGGUCCCUUAAUAUACAUUUUUUGGUUUGUUUUCAAAGCUACUUUAAAAAAUGGAAAUAAAUUGUUCUUGCAGUUUCUAGAAAUACCUUCAGAAAUAAAAUGAACUGUGUGGAUAAUAGGCUAUUAUGUUCUCUAUUCUUUACUUAAUUUCUAGAGAAGUCCUAGAGAAUAUGUCUAUAUGAAUAAAAACUUUCAGAUAACCCUGAAGGUGGUACUAGAGUACUUGUAACAAUGUUGAGGAAAUUAUUUGUAAUGUAAAAGCUUAUUUGUGUCAUUGUAAAGAGUGCUGUUAUAAAUACUGGACUUU